AACACAUGCAAGUCGAGCGCGCCCUUCGGGGUGAGCGGCGGACGGGUGAGUAACGCGUGGGAAUAUGCCCUUCUCUAAGGAAUAGCCUCUGGAAACGGAGAGUAAUACCUUAUACGCCCUUUGGGGGAAAGAUUUAUCGGAGAAGGAUUAGCCCGCGUUAGAUUAGGUAGUUGGUGGGGUAAUGGCCUACCAAGCCUACGAUCUAUAGCUGGUUUGAGAGGAUGAUCAGCCACACUGGGACUGAGACACGGCCCAGACUCCUACGGGAGGCAGCAGUAGGGAAUCUUAGACAAUGGGGGCAACCCUGAUCUAGCCAUGCCGCGUGUGUGAUGAAGGCCCUAGGGUCGUAAAGCACUUUCGCCAGAGAUGAUAAUGACAGUAUCUGGUAAAGAAACCCCGGCUAACUCCGUGCCAGCAGCCGCGGUAAUACGGAGGGGGUUAGCGUUGUUCGGAAUUACUGGGCGUAAAGCGCACGUAGGCGGAUUAGUAAGUUAGAGGUGAAAUCCCAGGGCUCAACCCUGGAACUGCCUUUAAUACUGCUAGUCUUGAGUUCGAGAGAGGUAAGUGGAAUUCCGAGUGUAGAGGUGAAA
rnacentral:rRNA from 1 species